GAGAAAGUUACAAGAACUGCUAAUCCUUGACACCAUGUCUAACCCACAUGGCUUUCUUA
rnacentral:tRNA from 1 species